GAAAAAUGACGGUACCUUAGGAGGAAGCCCCGGCUAACUACGUGCCAGCAGCCGCGGUAAUACGUAGGGGGCAAGCGUUAUCCGGAAUCACUGGGCGUAAAGGGUGCGUAGGCGGCUUGACAAGCCAGGGGUGAAAGGCAUUGGCUCAACCAAUGUAAGCCUUUGGAACUGUUAAGCUUGAGUGCAGGAGAGGUAAGUGGAAUUCCUAGUGUAGAGGUGAAAUUCGUAGAUAUUAGGAGGAACACCAGUGGCGAAGGCGACUUACUGGACUGUAACUGACGCUGAUGCACGAAAGCGUGGGUAGCGAACAGGAUUAGAUACCCUGGUAG
rnacentral:rRNA from 1 species